AGUGGGGAAUAUUGCACAAUGGGGGAAACCCUGAUGCAGCAACGCCGCGUGGAGGAUGACACAUUUCGGUGCGUAAACUCCUUUUAUAUGGGAAGAUAAUGACGGUACCAUAUGAAUAAGCACCGGCUAACUCCGUGCCAGCAGCCGCGGUAAUACGGAGGGUGCAAGCGUUACUCGGAAUCACUGGGCGUAAAGCGCGCGCAGGCGGCUAUUUAAGUUGGAUGUGAAAGCCUACGGCUCAACCGUAGAACUGCAUCCAAAACUAUUUAGCUAGAGUGUGGGAGAGGAAGAUGGAAUUAGUUGUGUAGGGGUAAAAUCCGUAGAGAUAACUAGGAAUACCAAAAGCGAAGGCAAUCUUCUGGAACACUACUGACGCUGAGGCGCGAAGGCGUGGGGAGCAAACAGGAUUAGAUACCCUGGUAGUCCACGCAGUAAACGAUGAAUGUUAGUCGUCGGGGGCCUAGUGUCUUCGGUGAUGCAGCUAACGCAUUAAACAUUCCGCCUGGGGAGUACGGUCGCAAGAUUAAAACUCAAAGGAAUAGACGGGGACCCGCACAAGUGGUGGAGCAUGUGGUUUAAUUCGAAGAUACGCGAAGAACCUUACCUAGCCUUGACAUAUUUUAGAACUCCGUAGAGAUACAGAGGUGCCUUCGGGAGCUAAUAUACAGGUGCUGCACGGCUGUCGUCAGCUCGUGUCGUGAGAUGUUGGGUUAAGUCCCGCAACGAGCGCAACCCUCGUCACUAGUUACUAACGGUUCGGCCGAGGACUCUAGUGAGACUGCCUUCGUAAGGAGGAGGAAGGUGAGGACGACGUCAAGUCAUCAUGGCCCUUACGGCUAGGGCAACACACGUGCUACAAUGGCCAGGACAGUGAGACGCGAUACCGCGAGGUGGAGCAAAUCUAUAAACCUGGUCUCAGUUCGGAUUGUAGUCUGCAACUCGACUACAUGAAGCUGGAAUCACUAGUAAUCGUAGAUCAGCUAUGCUACGGUGAAUACGU
rnacentral:rRNA from 1 species